rnacentral:rRNA from 1 species
AUUGAACGCUGGCGGCAUGCUUUACACAUGCAAGUCGAGCGGCAGCGCGGGGCAACCUGGCGGCGAGCGGCGAACGGGUGAGUAAUACAUCGGAACGUACCCAGUUGUGGGGGAUAGCCCGGCGAAAGCCGGAUUAAUACCGCAUACGACCUGAGGGUGAAAGGGGGGGAUCGCAAGACCUCUCGCAGUUGGAGCGGCCGAUGGCGGAUUAGCUAGUUGGUGGGGUAAAGGCCUACCAAGGCGACGAUCCGUAGCGGGUCUGAGAGGACGACCAGCCACACUGGGACUGAGACACGGCCCAGACGCCUACGGGAGGCAGCAGUGGGGAAUUUUGGACAAUGGGCGCAAGCCUGAUCCAGCCAUGCCGCGUGCGGGAAGAAGGCCUUCGGGUUGUAAACCGCUUUUGUCAGGGAAGAAAAGACUCCUGUUAAUACCGGGGGUUCAUGACGGUACCUGAAGAAUAAGCACCGGCUAACUACGUGCCAGCCGCCGCCGUAAAAC